rnacentral:rRNA from 1 species
CCUACGGGAGGCUGCAGUCGAGAAUAUUCCACAAUGGACGAAAGUCUGAUGGAGCGACGCCGCGUGCAGGAUGAAGCCCUUCGGGGUGUAAACUGCUUUUAUAGGGGACGAAUUUGUGACGGUACCCUAGGAAUAAGAGGUUGCUAACUCUGUGCCAGCAGCAGCGGUAAUACAGAGACCUCAAACGUUAUCCGGAUUCAUUGGGCGUAAAGCGUCCGCAGGUUGUCUGAAAAGUCAAUGGUUAAAUCCCGGGGCUUAACUCCGGGACUGCUGUUGAUACUAUCAGACUGGAGGCUGGGAGAGGCAAGCGGAACUAUCGGUGUAGUCGUAAUAAGCGCUGAUAUCGAUAGGAACACCAAAGGCGAAGGCAGCUUGCUAUAACAUGCCUGACACUCAUGGACCAAAGCGUGGGUAGCGAACAGGCUUAGAUACCCCAGUAGUC